GGCCAAAGUCCAUUGAGUGAACAACGCACGAAUCAAUGCAAAAAGAACGAAAAUUAGAACACCGAAUCGUUUUGAAAACUUGUGCUAAGACGGACUGCCGAAGCGAAGGCCUUUCAAUACAUGUGGUUCGACGUAUACAUGAAACAUCACUUGAUGCAAAAUAUGGAAAUCAGCAAGAGAAAGCAAACGCGAAUGGAUAGAAAACAUUUUAAAGACAUCUCUAUGUAAGCAAAGUCGAAUAGUCGAUGGCACAUUAGCCUAAAAUAGAGAUUAUAUACAAG